rnacentral:rRNA from 1 species
UGGGGAAUUUUGGACAAUGGGCGCAAGCCUGAUCCAGCCAUGCCGCGUGCGGGAAGAAGGCCUUCGGGUUGUAAACCGCUUUUGUCAGGGAAGAAAUCUUCUGAGUUAAUACCUCGGGAGGAUGACGGUACCUGAAGAAUAAGCACCGGCUAACUACGUGCCAGCAGCCGCGGUAAUACGUAGGGUGCAAGCGUUAAUCGGAAUUACUGGGCGUAAAGCGUGCGCAGGCGGUUUUGUAAGACAGAGGUGAAAUCCCCGGGCUCAACCUGGGAACUGCCUUUGUGACUGCAAGGCUUGAGUGCGGCAGAGGGGGAUGGAAUUCCGCGUGUAGCAGUGAAAUGCGUAGAUAUGCGGAGGAACACCGAUGGCGAAGGCAAUCCCCUGGGCCUGCACUGACGCUCAUGCACGAAAGCGUGGGGAGCAAACAGGAUUAGAUCCCUGGUAGUCCACGCCCUAAACGAUGUCAACUGGUUGUUGGGAAGGUUCCUUCUCAGUAACGUAGCUAACGCGUGAAGUUGACCGCCUGGGGAGUACGGCCGCAAGGUUGAAACUAAAUGAAUUGACGGGGUCAUAGCUGUUUCCUG